AAUAGAUACCCUGGUAGUCCACGCCGUAAACGUUGGGCGCUAGAUGUGGGGACCAUUCCACGGUUUCCGCGUCGUAGCUAACGCAUUAAGCGCCCCGCCUGGGGAGUACGGCCGCAAGGCUAAAACUCAAAGGAAUUGACGGGGGCCCGCACAAGCGGCGGAGCAUGCGGAUUAAUUCGAUGCAACGCGAAGAACCUUACCAAGGCUUGACAUAUGCGAGAACGCUCUAGAAAUAGAGAAUUCUUUGGACACUCGUAUACAGGUGGUGCAUGGUUGUCGUCAGCUCGUGUCGUGAGAUGUUGGGUUAAGUCCCGCAACGAGCGCAACCCUCGUCGCAUGUUGCCAGCACGUAAUGGUGGGAACUCAUGUGAGACUGCCGGGGUCAACUCGGAGGAAGGUGGGGAUGACGUCAAAUCAUCAUGCCCCUUAUGUCUUGGGCUUCACGCAUGCUACAAUGGCCGGUACAAAGGGCUGCGAAACCGUAAGUGGAGCGAAUCCCAAAAAGCCGGUCUCAGUUCGGA
rnacentral:rRNA from 1 species